GGACGAACGCUGGCGGCGUGCUUAAUACAUGCAAGUCGAGCGGGGUUAGAUUUUCAAUAUCCUUCGGGGUAGCGAUUUUCUAACCUAGCGGCGGACGGGUGAGUAACGCGUGGGCAACCUGCCCUAAAGCCUGGGAUAACAGCGGGAAACCGCUGCUAAUACCGGAUAUCUUUACGAAGAGGCAUCUUUUAGUAAAGAAAGGGAAUGAAUGCUUGCAUUCAUUUUACGCUUUAGGAUGGGCCCGCGUCCCAUUAGCUAGUUGGUGAGGUAACGGCUCACCAAGGCAACGAUGGGUAGCCGGCCUGAGAGGGUGGACGGCCACACUGGGACUGAGACACGGCCCAGACUCCUACGGGAGGCAGCAGUAGGGAAUUUUGCGCAAUGGGGGAAACCUUGACGCAGCGACGCCGCGUGAGUGAUGAAGGCCUUCGGGUUGUAAAGCUCUGUUGGGGGGGAAGAUAGUGACGGUACCCCCUGAGGAAGCCCCGGCUAACUACGUGCCAGCAGCCGCGGUAAGACGUAGGGGGCGAGCGUUGUCCGGAAUUACUGGGCGUAAAGGGCGUGUAGGCGGCCUUUCAAGUCGGCUGUGAAAUUCCUCGGCUUAACUGAGGGUGUGCAGUCGAAACUGAUGGGCUUGAGUGCAGGAGAGGGUGGUGGAAUUCCCGGUGUAGCGGUGACAUGCGUAGAUAUCGGGAGGAACACCGGUGGCGAAGGCGGCCUCCUGGUCUGUUACUGACGCUGAGGCGCGAAAGCCGGGGGAGCAAACAGGAUUAGAUACCCUGGUAGUCCCGGCCGUAAACUCUGGGUACUAGGUGUGGGGGGCUUCGAUGCCUUCUGUGCCGUAGUUAACGCAUUAAGUACCCCGCCUGGGGAGUACGAUCGCAAGGUUG
rnacentral:rRNA from 1 species